AUUCUCUCUCUGCAUCCAUUGUGCCCAUUUCCAACCUUGACUUUUAAUUGUCUGCUGUUCUGGUCUGGAAUAACUUUUUUUUUUUUCCUUCCAAGGGUAACUUACCACCCCCUCUAAUCUGGGAACUUUCCAGAAUAAUUCCAGCUCCUGUUACUCUUUCAGAUUUCUGGCAGCCCCAUAGCAGCUGGCAGAGUCUUCCCUUCAGAUUAUCAGUUGGAACAGGAUGGAAUUUAUUGUCUGGGCAGUGAAGGAUAGGGAGUUCUCUUCUUAAUUAUUGGGUGCAUGCAAGGUCCUGGUCCCAGUCCCGGAUGUCAACACGCUGGACUCAAUUGGACUUGAACAGAAAGUGAACUCUCCAUCUAUGGACAUUGCAUGGAAAUCAAUUUGGUUCAAUUCCUAAACUCCAAGACUGGGAGUCAUUGGAAGAAACUUCUAGGUGGUAUGCCUUAAGGUCAGUCCUUGAUGAAUUUAGAAGGAAGCAGAAGCACAGCUUCUUGAGUCAUGCCCAGAUUAAAUGUGGCUGUUUUGAUUACUGAAUCCAAAGGUGUGGCCAGCCCUGAAUGUCCCAUUUUUUGAGCCAAAGGACCAUAUGUUUGUUCCAGAUGAAACUAUUCCAAGUGGAGCAAAUCUAGCAUUUUGAGGCGGUGUCUACCCAAAGAAAGAUAAAGAGGAAAAAUGCAGUCAGGCAAACUAUUGGCAUCUUUCAGAGAAAAAUUCCCUCCUCCCUAACACAAGCUGUUAGCAUUAGGGAAGGUAGUCAAACUGAUUAUAUGGGUAUAAUGAGGGUAGGCUAAAACACAUUUUUUCCCAUAUACCUAAAAGGAUGGAGUUUUGGAGCACAGAGAGACAAUGCCUUUUCCUAUUGGACUUUAAGAGAUAAAUAAUAACAAAUACUCUGCCUCCCUUUCCCCCCUCUCACUCCUACUCUAUAUUUGCCUCUCUGUCUCUCUAUAACUCAGAAACCAUAAGAACACACCCAUUUUGUCCUUGCUUGUUUAUACAUGUUACCAUGUUCCAAGCAGGCCCCUCAGAAGACUUUCAAAAGUACUUGCAAAAGGAUAAUAAGUGAGUCAGAAAUCCUGGUGAAGAAAAAUGAAGGGUUUCUGUCUCUAUAAAUUUGCUUUUUCCUGGACAUUUUAUAUAAAUGGAAUCAUGCAAUAUGUAUUCUUUUACAUCUGGUUUCUUUCACUUAGCGUAUCUUUGAGGUUCACCCAUGUUGUAAUGUGUAUCAGUUCUUUGUUCCUUUUUAUUGU